CUCCGGCUGGACAGACCAAACACAAAUGUGGAGAUACACGUUUAGGCCAAGUGGCACUGGGAUUUCUUGUUUCCACUGAAGACAAGACGUUAUGAACAAAACUGUGCAAAGGUCACCCCAACGACAUCAGACAGGUGCUCGUGUAACCUCUCCAUCUCCUCCAGGUCUGGUCCCCUGUCCGCAUCAUCCGAUUCCCUCAUUAGCACCAGCCGAGCCUGUGACUUGCUGCCUAAACUCUGGAGGAUUUCGGCUAUCGAUGAUGGGAAUGCUGGCAUAAUAGUGCACUGGACUUUGAGUAUGAACCGAAGAAGAUUCCAGCCCCAAAUCUCUACCUCCCAU